UCGGGGUGCAGCAGGCGCGAAAACUUUACAAUGCGGGAAACCGUGAUAAGGGGACACCGAGUGCCAGCAUCAUAUGCUGGCUGUCCAGGUGUGUAAAAUACACCUGUUAGCAAGGGCCGGGCAAGACCGGUGCCAGCCGCCGCGGUAACACCGGCGGCCCGAGUGGUGAUCGUGAUUAUUGGGUCUAAAGGGUCCGUAGCCGGUUUGGUCAGUCCUCCGGGAAAUCUGACGGCUCAACCGUUAGGCUUUCGGGGGAUACUGCCAGGCUUGGAACCGGGAGAGGUAAGAGGUACUACAGGGGUAGGAGUGAAAUCUUGUAAUCCCUGUGAGACCACCUGUGGCGAAGGCGUCUUACCAGAACGGGUUCGACGGUGAGGGACGAAAGCUGGGGGCACGAACCGGAUUAGAUACCCGGGUAGUCCCAGCCGUAAACGAUGCUCGCUAGGUGUCAGGCAUGGCGCGACCGUGUCUGGUGCCGCAGGGAAGCCGUGAAGCGAGCCACCUGGGAAGUACGGCCGCAAGGCUGAAACUUAAAGGAAUUGGCGGGGGAGCAC
rnacentral:rRNA from 1 species